ACAAUGUAAAGUAUAACUCACUACGCAACAAUAAUUUAUAUUAGUAAUGUAACUGAUCAGACUUUUAAUUUUCACUUUCGUUAUCAAUAACUAUCACAUUCUAACAUAAAAAUAACUUUGUCUGACCCUGAUGAAAAAUAACUGAUUUUUAUAACAAUCAUAGUGUUCUAGUUAAUAGUUUUGAAACAAUGUAAUGAAUAAAUGGAUGUUUACUUCUCCGUUUGUAUAAUACCUGAUUUUCUAGUCCAGCCUAGAGGGUGUUUGGAGUUGAGUUUUAAAGGAGAUUUUUAAAUUAUUGAGUUUUGAAAUUGUAAAUAAUCAAUUUUGAGUUUUGAGUGUUUGGGUAAAAAAAUUAAAAAGUUGAUUAUUUGCGUUUAGAAAGUUACAAAACGCACUUUUCCAAAAGCAUCCCCCCCCCCCCCGUGCGGCAAAAAAAAAAAAAAAAAAAAAAAAACUAUACCUCACCAAAAAACCCAAAAAAAAAAAAACAUAAAAAAAAUCUAUAAAAAACUAAACACCCACCCCCACCCCCACCCCCACCCAAAAACCUAAACCCCCACCCCUUCGGCAAAAAAAAAAAUUUUUUUUUGGGGGGGGGGGUUGGGGGUUUAGGUUUUUGGUGGUGGUGGAUGUUUAAGGUUAUUGGACGACACUUGUCACUCUAUAAAUCCUUUUUACACUUCUUACAAUUAAAAUCUUUUGUAUUUGAUCCUAAUCCUAUAAAGUAG
rnacentral:lncRNA from 1 species